UCAAAGAUUAAGCCAUGCAUGUCUCAGUGCAUGCCGAAUUAAGGUGAAACCGCGAAUGGCUCAUUAAAUCAGUUAUGGUUCCUUAGAUCGUACCCACAUUUACUUGGAUAACUGUGGUAAUUCUAGAGCUAAUACAUGCAAACCAGAGUUCCGACCAGAGAUGGAAGGAACGCUUUUAUUAGAUCAAAGCCAAUCGGUGGCGGGCUUGCUCGUUCACCGUUUACCUUGGUGACUCUGAAUAACUUUGUGCUGAUCGCACGGUCUCGCACCGGCGACGCAUCUUUCAAAUGUCUGCCUUAUCAACUGUCGAUGGUAGGUUCUGCGCCUACCAUGGUUGUAACGGGUAACGGGGAAUCAGGGUUCGAUUCCGGAGAGGGAGCCUGAGAAACGGCUACCACAUCCAAGGAAGGCAGCAGGCGCGCAAAUUACCCACUCCCGGCACGGGGAGGUAGUGACGAAAAAUUCAUCGCUCGCGAUGUUUAACUGACAUGAUUGUGGGACGUCCUACCGGUGGGCUUGCCUUUCGGGGCAGUCCAGCUAAUAUCCCAUCGCGGUGCUCUUCAUCGAGUGUCGAGGUGGGCCGGUACGUUUACUUUGAACAAAUUAGAGUGCUCAAAGCAGGCUAUGUUCGCCUGAAUACUGUGUGCAUGGAAUAAUGGAAUAGGACCUCGGUUCUAU
rnacentral:rRNA from 1 species